CCUACGGGUGGCAGCAGUGGGGAAUAUUGCACAAUGGGGGAAACCCUGAUGCAGCGACGCCGCGUGAGCGAUGAAGUAUUACGGUAUGUAAAGCUCUAUCAGCAGGGAGGAAAAUGACGGUACCUGACUAAGAAGCCCCGGCUAACUACGUGCCAGCAGCCGCGGUAAUACGUAGGGGGCAAGCGUUAUCCGGAUUGACUGGGGGUAAAGGGAGCGUAGACGGCGGUGCAAGCCAGAUGUGAAGGCCCGGGGCUCAACCCCGGGACUGCAUUUGGAACUGUGCUGCUAGAGUGUCGGAGAGGCAGGCGGAAUUCCUAGUGUAGCGGUGAAAUGCGUAGAGAUUAGGAGGAACACCAGUGGCGAAGGCGACCUGCUGGACGAUGACUGACGUUGAGGCUCGAAAGCGUGGGGAGCAAACAGGAUUAGAUACCCGGGUAGUC
rnacentral:rRNA from 1 species